rnacentral:rRNA from 1 species
GAUGGGAGCUUGCUCCCUGAUGUUAGUGGCGGACGGGUGAGUAACACGUGGGUAACCUGCCUGUAAGAUUGGGAUAACUUCGGGAAACCGAAGCUAAUACCGGAUAAUAUAAGAAACCGCAUGGUUUCUUAUUGAAAGAUGGUUUCGGCUAUCACUUACAGAUGGACCCGCGGCGCAUUAGCUAGUUGGUGAGGUAACGGCUCACCAAGGCAACGAUGCGUAGCCGACCUGAGAGGGUGAUCGGCCACACUGGGACUGAGACACGGCCCAGACUCCUACGGGAGGCAGCAGUAGGGAAUCUUCCGCAAUGGACGAAAGUCUGACGGAGCAACGCCGCGUGAGCGAAGAAGGCCUUCGGGUCGUAAAGCUCUGUUGUUAGGGAAGAACAAGUACCGGAGUAACUGCCGGUACCUUGACGGUACCUAACCAGAAAGCCACGGCUAACUACGUGCCAGCAGCCGCGGUAAUACGUAGGUGGCAAGCGUUGUCCGGAAUUAUUGGGCGUAAAGCGCGCGCAGGCGGUUUCUUAAGUCUGAUGUGAAAGCCCACGGCUCAACCGUGGAGGGUCAUUGGAAACUGGGAAACUUGAGUGCAGAAGAGGAAAGUGGAAUUCCACGUGUAGCGGUGAAAUGCGUAGAGAUGUGGAGGAACACCAGUGGCGAAGGCGACUUUCUGGUCUGUAACUGACGCUGAGGCGCGAAAGCAUGGGGAGCGAACAGGAUUAGAUACCCUGGUAGUCCAUGCCGUAAACGAUGAGUGCUAAGUGUUAGAGGGUUUCCGCCCUUUAGUGCUGCAGCUAACGCAUUAAGCACUCCGCCUGGGGAGUACGGUCGCAAGACUGAAACUCAAAGGAAUUGACGGGGGCCCGCACAAGCGGUGGAGCAUGUGGUUUAAUUCGAAGCAACGCGAAGAACCUUACCAGGUCUUGACAUCCUCUGACACUCCUAGAGAUAGGACGUUUCCCUUCGGGGAACAGAGUGACAGGUGGUGCAUGGUUGUCGUCAGCUCGUGUCGUGAGAUGUUGGGUUAAGUCCCGCAACGAGCGCAACCCUUGAUCUUAGUUGCCAGCAUUCAGUUGGGCACUCUAAGGUGACUGCCGGUGACAAACCGGAGGAAGGUGGGGAUGACGUCAAAUCAUCAUGCCCCUUAUGACCUGGGCUACACACGUGCUACAAUGGAUGGUACAAAGGGCUGCAAGACUGCGAAGUCAAGCGAAUCCCAUAAAACCAUUCUCAGUUCGGAUUGCAGGCUGCAACUCGCCUGCAUGAAGCCGGAAUCGCUAGUAAUCGUGGAUCAGCAUGCCACGGUGAAUACGUUCCCGGGCCUUGUACACACCGCCCGUCACACCACGAGAGUUUGUAACACCCGAAGUCCCUGGGGCAACAUGUGGAA